CAAAUUAGAGCUUGAUAAAGCAUUUUAUUUACAUUAAAAAGUAUAUUGUAGAUUCAAUAUAAUUUGA
rnacentral:tRNA from 1 species